AAAAAUAAAAAAUAUGAUCAAAAACGAAGCUUAAUUGGCAUUUGUUCGAUACGAGAAGAAGCAAAAGAAUCUGUAAGCUUAGUGAAAUCAUUCGAACUUGCAGUGGUAUUCCCUUGAAUGUGGAUCUCUCUCCAUAGUAUAGUGUGUGAGUUGACGUGCAAGCGUGCGGUCGUGCGAGCGUGCAGCGUGCGCGGCCCGGUUUCAAAGUGAACCGUUAAAUUAUUCGUGGCGCUUUCGAGCGACAAAUGGACCAGUGAGACGUUUUAAAGGGUCUCGAGAGUCGGACGUCUAUAAAUAGGCAGGUUAAGGAAACGUUUAAAAUUAGCAUACAGAGAUAUAUUGUAAACGCGCACGCGUAUUUUAUCGUGAGAAAAGCUGAUUAAAUUUUAAAAAUCUAGUCACUUUUCGUUUAAUCGAUGAAAGAAAAAAAAAAAGAAUAGGGAAUUUAACCAAACCAUUAAAUCUUCAAACAUUUCAUUUGUUCACGAUGUUCAACCAGUUUCCACUUGCAAGUAUAAGUGCGCCAAGUCUCUCUUUACCAGGCCCGACAGAGCGUCGUAAUUUCAGCAAGAAUAGAACGAGGUCGUGAACCAGACGUCCAACGAACAAACGUCAGACGAAAAGAGAAAUGGUGAGGAGGUAGAAGAGAGAAAAGCAAAGAUCGAAAGAACGAACAGAAACGGUCAUAUAGGUGGAUGAUGAGUUGGAGGAAGAAAAAGCAAGAGGAAGAGAGAACUGUCGAGAGAGGAACCUUGUUACAAAAUCAUUUCGUCGGCAGUACGAUGGAUCGAUCGUAACCAUUUUGUAUUCAGACAUCGAAAUACUGAGUUCAAUGAUUAA